UACGAAGGGGGCUAGCGUUGUUCGGAAUCACUGGGCGUAAAGGGCGCGUAGGCGGCCGAUCAAGUCGGAGGUGAAAUCCCUCGGCUCAACUGAGGAAUUGCCUUCGAUACUGUUCGGCUUGAGUCCUGGAGAGGGUAGCGGAAUUCCCGGUGUAGCGGUGAAAUGCGUAGAGACCGGGAAGAACACCAGUGGCGAAGGCGGCUACCUGGACAGGUACUGACGCUGAAGCGCGAAAGCUAGGGGAGCAAACAGG
rnacentral:rRNA from 1 species